AGCGAAACGGGAAGAGCCCAAACCAACAAGCUUGCUUGUUGGGGUUGUAGGACACUCUAUACGGAGUUACAAAGGACGACAUUAGACGAAUCAUCUGGAAAGAUGAAUCAAAGAAGGUAAUAAUCCUGUAGUCGAAAAUGUUGUCUCUCUUGAGUGGAUCCUGAGUACGACGGAGCACGUGAAAUUCCGUCGGAAUCUGGGAGGACCAUCUCCUAAGGCUAAAUACUCUCUAGUGACCGAUAGUGAACCAGUACCGUGAGGGAAAGGUGAAAAGCACCC
rnacentral:rRNA from 1 species